CUGCAGCCAAUUAAACCGACUGUGUUCCUUUCUUCAUGGGGGCCUAGGGUGCAAUGGCUGCAAACAGCAACCUCCUUGGGAGUGUAAGCAGCCUUUUGCUUAUAUCGAUUGCUGUAAGGGACCAUGGAAAGAAUC